UACGUAGGGUGCGAGCGUUAAUCGGAAUUACUGGGCGUAAAGCGUGCGCAGGCGGUUUGGUAAGACAGAUGUGAAACUCCCCGGGCUUAACCUGGGAGCUGCAUUUGUGACUGCCAGACUAGAGUGUAGCAGAGGGGGGGUAGAAUUCCACGUGUAGCAGUGAAAUGCGUAGAGAUGUGGAGGAAUACCGAUGGCGAAGGCAGCCCCCCUGGGCUAACACUGACGCUCAUGCACGAAAGCGUGGGGGAGCAAACAGGAUUAGAUACCCUGGUAGUCCACGCCCUAAACGAUGUCAACUAGGUGUUGGGGAAGGAGACUUCUUUAGUACCGCAGCUAACGCGUGAAGUUGACCGCCUGGGGAGUACAGUCGCAAGAUUAAAA
rnacentral:rRNA from 1 species